AGCGGCGGCGGCGGCGGUGGUAUCGGCGGCAGCUGUGAGGGGGUUCCGGGAAGAUGGUGCUGAUCAAGGAAUUCCGUGUGGUUUUGCCAUGUUCUGUUCAGGAGUAUCAGGUUGGGCAGCUUUACUCUGUUGCAGAAGCUAGUAAGAAUGAGACUGGUGGUGGAGAAGGAAUUGAAGUCUUAAAGAAUGAACCUUAUGAGAAGGAUGGAGAAAAGGGACAGUAUACGCACAAAAUUUAUCACCUAAAGAGGUAAGCGUUGUUCACAUUUGACGCCUUGUAACUACCUGGCUUACUUAUGAUGCAUGUAACUAGCUAACUUAACUAGUAGAUGUGAAGUACCUUUUUAAUUUCAGUUUGAUAAUAUAUUGCAUUUUAAUUCUUUGACAGAACCUCCUCCUUUAUUUGUAAAUUAGAAAAGGAUUAUAUCUGCUUAUAACAAAAAUUCAGAUAAAAACUUAGUCCCUGCUCCUUGCCAUCAAAUAUUUGUAACACAGAGAGAAACACUAGAAGCAGCUUAGAGUUUAUCCUUCUAGAUCAUUUUCUGUAUAUAUUCAAAGGAAUUUUUAAAACAUAGCGAUGUAUUACUUGUAUCAAUUUUAGUUUUCUACAACAAAUGGACCAUAUGAAUGGUUUUGCAGUUUGCUUUAUUUCUGAUGAACAUCUUCCAUAUUGUUAUUUAAUAUCUGUGUGAUUCUUUUUAAAGCCAAGUAAAAUUUCUUCUGGACAUAGUAUAGUUUACUUAACCAUUCCCUAUGUUGUAAGUCC
rnacentral:sRNA from 1 species